rnacentral:rRNA from 1 species
UACGUAGGGGGCUAGCGUUGUCCGGAUUUAUUGGGCGUAAAGAGCUCGUAGGCGGUGUGUCACGUCGGCCGUAAAAACCUGCAGCUUAACUGUGGGCGUGCGGUCGAUACGGGCAUCACUGGAGUUCGGCAGGGGAGACUGGAAUUCCUGGUGUAGCGGUGAAAUGCGCAGAUAUCAGGAGGAACACCGGUGGCGAAGGCGGAUCUCUGGGCCUUACCUGACGCUGAGGCGCGAAAGCUAGGGGAGCGAACAGGA